rnacentral:rRNA from 1 species
UACGUAGGGUGCAAGCGUUAAUCGGAAUUACUGGGCGUAAAGCGUGCGCAGGCGGUUUUGUAAGUCUGUCGUGAAAGCCCCGGGCUCAACCUGGGAAUUGCGAUGGAGACUGCAAGGCUUGAAUGUGGCAGAGGGGAGUAGAAUUCCACGUGUAGCAGUGAAAUGCGUAGAGAUGUGGAGGAACACCGAUGGCGAAGGCAGCCCCCUGGGUCAAGAUUGACGCUCAUGCACGAAAGCGUGGGGAGCAAACAGG